rnacentral:lncRNA from 1 species
UGCAGCGUCUUUCUGAACUCCUCCGACCGUCUGAGCUUCCAUAAUACCAUCCAAACUUCUCCGAUAAUGAACUCCUUCAGUCGUCUAUCGGGCUGGUCCAAAUGCUCUCUGGGCUUCAUUAUCAGCCAAUUUUCUACAGUGAUCGACUAUCCUCUGAAUCUCUUCUAGACUUCUUCCUGCCACGAUCGACUCUACUCCGAACUUCUUUCGGACUUCGUCAAUGUU